AGCGCGAUGGCUGAGUGGUUAAGGCGUUGGACUUAAGUUCCAAUGGACGUAAGUCCUCGUGGGUU
rnacentral:tRNA from 1 species